CUGGACAAGUACGAGGUGUGCAUCCGCGCCUUCUUCAACUCCUGCGACACCUCCAAGGACGGCCGCGUGUCCGCCCCCGAGUGGUGCUUCUGCUUCUGGAGGGAAAAGCCGCCCUGUCUGAGGGAGCUGGAGAAGAUCCAGAUCCAAGAAGCGACCAA